rnacentral:rRNA from 1 species
GUGCCUUCGGGAACCGUGAGACAGGUGCUGCAUGGCUGUCGUCAGCUCGUGUUGUGAAAUGUUGGGUUAAGUCCCGCAACGAGCGCAACCCUUAUCCUUUGUUGCCAGCGGUCCGGCCGGGAACUCAAAGGAGACUGCCAGUGAUAAACUGGAGGAAGGUGGGGAUGACGUCAAGUCAUCAUGGCCCUUACGACCAGGGCUACACACGUGCUACAAUGGCGCAUACAAAGAGAAGCGACCUCGC